CCAGUAUCCAGGUGGACCUGGGAAAUGGAACUGACUGAUCCUCUUCAAUUUGACGAUGUUGAGUAUCUCUGCAUGAAGUGACAUUAAAUGAAGAUCAGCACAGGAAACUGCCACAGGAAACACAGAGAUUAAUACCUAUUAACUCAGCCACCACUACCGGAUCCAUUUCACUGAAGAAAGAACCAAAGGACGUUCAGGAAUUCAAUCCCAGGCAAGCUAAGCCUCAGAACCCACGCUCUGUCCCCAACACCAUAAUGAAUGCGCUGUUAGAAAACUGAGAAAUGACGGGGUUUUUUUUGCACAACCCCUGCCAAGACAACAUCUUAGGCUCACAUUAACAACCCAGGUUCUCAGAUUGCCUCUUUUGAUACAAACUGGGCUUGGAGCAAAGUGGUAGAAUUCAUCCCCAGAUUCUGCCUUUCUCUGGUAUUUUUAUCCCAUGC